CCUACGGGUGGCAGCAGUGGGGAAUAUUGCACAAUGGGGGAAACCCUGAUGCAGCAACGCCGCGUGAAGGAAGACGGUUUUCGGAGUGGAAACUUCUGUUCGUAGGGAAGAAGAAUGACGGUAGCGAAGGAGCAAGCCACGGCUAACUACGUGCCAGCAGCCGCGGUAAUACGGAGGUGGCAAGCGUUGUCCGGAAUUACUGGGGGUAAAGGGAGCGCAGGCGGGAAGCCAAGUCAGCUGUGAAAACUACGGGCUUCACUUGUAGACUGCAGUUGAAACUGGUUUUCUUGAGUGCAGUAGAGGUUGGCGGACUUCCGAGUGUAGCGGUGAAAUGCGUAGAUAUUCGGAGGAACCCCGGUGGCGAAGGCGGCCCACUGGGCUUUAACUGACGCUGAGGCUCGAACGUGUGGGGAGCAAACAGGAUUAGAUACCCCUGUAGUC
rnacentral:rRNA from 1 species